UUUUUUUUUUUUAUAUUUAUUUUUAGUUAAAAUUUUUUGUAGGUUUAUUUUUUUUUUUAUUUAAUUAUUUUUUUUUAGUUUAAUAGUACUGUGAUGGAUACUUUUUUAUAUUUAUUAAAGUAAAAUUUUUUUUUGUACCUUUUGUAUCAGGGUUAAUUAAAUUUAGGGGAUUUAUUUUUUUUUCUCGAAUUUUUAAUAUUUACUUUUAUUUGUAUUUUAUUGUUGUAAAAUUAUUUAUUAAUUAUUGGUGGUUUUGAUAUGAAAUUCAAUUAAGGUUAUUUCUGGUUUUUGAAGAAUUUAAUUUAAUUAAGGGUUUAUAUUUGUUAUUUUAUUAUAUUUUUUCAUUUUUAUUCCUAAAUUUAGGGGGGAUAAGCUCUUUAUAUAUAUAUAAUUUUUUUGUUUUUUUAUUUUUGUAGGAUUAGAAUCUUUUAUCUUAAGUUCGUUAAAGAUUUUUUAGAAAAUUUUAUUUUAUUUAUUUUUUUAUUUAAGUUUUUUAAUUAUUUUAUUUUAUUAAAAUAAUGGUUGAAUUAGUAAUUUAAAAUAUUUUUUUUAUGAAUUAGGCAAUUUAUUUCUCGCUUGUUUAACAAAAACAUGUUUUUUUGUUAUAAAUUUAAGAUUGGCCCUGCUCAAUGAAUUUUAAAUAGCCGCGGUAAUUUAACUGUGCAAAGGUAGCAUAAUAAUUAGUCUUUUAAUUGAGGUCUGGAAUGAAUGGGUUAACGAGGAAAUAACUUUAUUAAAUAUAUUUUGUUUAAUUUAAUUUUUAAGUCAAAAAGCUUAAUUAAUUGAUUGGGACGAUAAGACCCUAUAGAUCUUUAUUUUUUAUUUAAAGUUUAUAAAUUUGGUUGAUUAUUAAUUUUGUUUUAAAUUAAAAAAUUUUGCUGGGGUGGUUUUUAAAAAUUUUAACUUUAUAUUUUUUUUACUUUAAUUUUAGAAUAUUUUGAUCCUUAAUUUUGGAUUUUAAGAUUAAGAUACCUUAGGGAUAACAGCGUUAUAUAUUUGGAGAGUUCUUAUUGAUAAAUAUGUUUGCGACCUCGAUGUUGGAUUAAAUUUAAUUGUGGGGUAGGUUUUACAAUGUUAGGUCUGUUCGACCUUUAAAAUUUUACAUGAUCUGAGUUCAAAUCGGCGUAAGCCAGAUUGGUUUCUAUCUUUUCAUUAAUUAGUCUAAUUAGUACGAAAGGACUUUUAGUAUUGUAAUAGUU
rnacentral:rRNA from 1 species